GAAAGGGCCAGCUGAGCUGCUAUGCCACCUGCUCAUCAGCUGGGGAGGCCUGCCCUGGUCCCUCCGUCCAUGCCUGCAGGUAGGGGCUGGUCGGGUGACCUCCUGUGCUGUGGUCUGUCUCUUCCAGUGGUUUCCAGUGACAGUGACAGUGACUCAGAUCUUAGCUCCUCCAGCCUAGAGGACAGACUCCCACCCACUGGGGUCAGGGACCGGAAAGGCGACAAACCCUGGAAGGAGUCAGGUGGCAGCGUGGAGGCCCCCAGGAUGGGGUUCACCCACCCGCCGGGCCACCUCUCUGGGUGCCAGAGCAGCCUGGCCAGUGAGACGGGGACAGGCUCUGCCGACCCGCCAGGGGGACCCCGACCCGGGCCGACCCGAAGGGCCCCGGUAAAAGACACACCUGGACGAGCCCCCGCUGCUGACGCAGCUCCAGCAGGCCCCUCCAGCUGCCUGGGCUGAGGUGUCUGGUGCCUGGAACAGACUUCCCUGUGGAGGAUUCCUGCCAGACCCUGCCCGGCUCCUCCCUGACCGGUCCUUGUGCCCUCACCAGACACCCUGUUGGCCACGACUCAACAAACCAGUGUUGGGAGCCGUCUGCCUCCCCACCUCAGUGCCU
rnacentral:lncRNA from 1 species